AAUAAAAAUUUAAAACGCGAGAUGCUCGAUUAGGGUUGUUCUUUAUAGAGCUUCUUCUUCCCUUUAUAAAGUGUCAAAUCUAGCAAAGUGCCUCCGCCAAGAGCUUCCUUGUUACUUACAUGGGAUCGCUCAGUUCCCAAGGUUAAAAGGAAAAUUGAAAUAAAGGAACCAAAUGAUGCGAUCUUCUUUGAAGAGAAGAUUGAACCAUGAUGCGGACCGUAUAGCUAUUUUGCUACUGGGGAUAAUUUUUGGUUUCUGAUGGUUCCUCUAUUUUUAUAAUUUAGUUUAAUAAAGAACCAAGUAUUGACUGAUAAAUUAUAGUUCCUUUUCGGAAAAUCGAAAUAUAUUAGGUUUUUAAUCUUUUGUAUUUCGAUUUAAGUUUAUAAGAGUAUAAAGUAAUACUCAUCGAUACUUCGAAA